UCACGUAACGAGAUAAAAAAAACUAAAAAUGAAUUUUAGACGUAUCAGCGGAUCAGGGAUAAAAAAACGUACAACAUUGUUUAUGAAUGGCCCCCAAACAAAGAAUAUUCCAUAACGAAUAUCACGCAACAUCGGUGACAGAGCAUUGGGAUCAAGGCCAAGUCCCCCCUGGGUCGUGCAAAACUGAGAAGCAGCAUCAAUUUAGGCACAGAUAGCAGACGUCCAUUUAUUUUCAUUUUGUUUUGUUUUGUCUUUUUAUUUGUUUCUCCUGCUACGAUGUGUGAGGGAGAACCGGACGGCCAAGGAAACGGAAAGCCAGUGGCCCAAACAGAUCAGGAACAGGAGGGAGGACUGCGAACAGGGAAACCGACAACAGAGGAGAAAUCGUUUAUUUAUUUAUUAUAGCUACGAUACUAAUCACAAUUGUUUUGCUUUUCUUGUUUCGUUUCAGCAAACCAAAAACUAUACGGACUAGCCCAUACGAACAGUUAGGCUUUGUAGGUUCUCAUCUUGAGAAAUGACAAUGACACUGUACGAGAUGGCGCUGGGCCUGUGGCCUUCGACUGGCAUGGUCCUUUCUCAUUGAUUCGGAAGUCUUCUUGGCUGGUUGGUAGAUAUGUGCUCCUACUUGCAAGUUGAUCAAUUCACUUGGGUGGGGGACAUGUGGAUCCUACUAGUUGUCGACUCUUUUGAUCGUGAGUAUGAGGCUAGUUCAGGAAAGGAGUGCAGGACUGGCACCUAAGAGAUAGUUAAUUAUUCAGGACUUGUUCUUAUGAUUACUAAACUCGACCAAGCACACCGGCUCUCAGAAAUGAUAAGCAACCCUUUCGGGUCGGUGUGGUCUAUUCGAGUCGAACCAGGCGGACAUUCGGUUCGAGCAAACUUUAUGGUUAAUAGUGGAUAAAUAUUUAUUACGCCUUUAUUGGCAGAGAUUCUUUUUGCGAAAUCCUAAAAUACCUUCACUGGUAUAGCUACUCAGGAUAAUAAUAAUAGAAAAUUAAGGAUUUGCCCGGUCCAUAAUGUAAUGAAUAUGUAUAUUGACUAGAACAGGGAUAAUCGAGUUAUGUUAUAAGAUAGAGAAGAACAGCACAGUUGAAGGAAAAGUAUUCGCGAGUAAGGACUAAUACUGCUAGUAUGUUUACCGUUUCAAUUAAUAGUCGAUUGAUCUGCUUCGGACCUAGGAGACAAAAAGGAGAUUAGGAAGAGACAGAAGCGGAUUCAAUGCAAAAUUUGCCAAUAUGACGUUGACCCCAAGGCGAUGGUAGGAUUAUUUUCCAUAGGAUGACAGACUAGAUGACACGACGUUACACGCUCUGAACUUGCGCCAAAUAGUUUGUAUUCGAUUGAUCCGCUUCUGACCUAGGGGACCCAUGAGGAGAUCAGGAAGAAAAUAGAAGCGGAAUCAAUGCGAAGUUUUAAUUGCAUCACUGACGACUUAGCACGCGUUGUUAGGAGCAGGAUACAUUGGACCAGACAAAAUAGAGAACUUGACGUUACGUUAAGCUGCAAUCCCAUCUGCCCGAUAAAAAAAAACUGAUCACAAUUAUUUUGCUUUUCUUGUCUCGUUUCAGCAAACCAAAA